rnacentral:tRNA from 1 species
CUGGGCGUCGGCGGCGGCGCGGGCCUCGCCGAGCCUGUUGAGCCCGGCGGCCCGGUCGCCGCCGGGUGCGGUGGCCCGGGCCCGCUCGUGCAGC